rnacentral:rRNA from 1 species
CCUACGGGUGGCAGCAGUGAGGAAUAUUGGUCCAUGGACGAGAGUCUGAACCAGCCAAGUAGCGUGAAGGAUGACUGCCCUAUGGGUUGUAAACUUCUUUUAUAUGGGAAUAAAAUGUUCCACGUGUGGGAUUUUGUAUGUACCAUAUGAAUAAGGAUCGGCUAACUCCGUUCCAGCAGCCGCUGUAAUACGGAGGAUCCGAGCGUUAUCCGGAUUUAUUGGGUUUAAAGGGAGCGUAGGUGGAUUGUUAAGUCAGUUGUGAAAGUUUGCGGCUCAACCGUAAAAUUGCAGUUGAAACUGGCAGUCUUGAGUACAGUAGAGGUGGGCGGAAUUCGUGGUGUAGCGGUGAAAUGCUUAGAUAUCACGAAGAACUCCGAUUGCGAAGGCAGUUCACUGGACUGCAACUGACACUGAGGCUCGAAAGUGUGGGUAUCAAACAGGAUUAGAUACCCGAGUAGUC